UACAGAGGUCCCAAGCGUUGUUCGGAAUUACUGGGCGUAAAGGGUGCGUAGGCGGGUCUUUAAGUCAGGGGUGAAAUCCUGGAGCUCAACUCCAGAACUGCCUUUGAUACUGAAGAUCUUGAGUUCGGGAGAGGUGAGUGGAACUGCGAGUGUAGAGGUGAAAUUCGUAGAUAUUCGCAAGAACACCAGUGGCGAAGGCGGCUCACUGGCCCGAUACUGACGCUGAGGCACGAAAGCGUGGGGAGCAAACAGG
rnacentral:rRNA from 1 species